GAGAGGAGGGCAGGUGACUCGGAGUUUAGGCAGGCUGAUUCCUCGGUGAGCGUUAUGAAGCAGCAUGCUAAGUGUGUACAUUUUCUUUUUGCAGGUAUCUUCCGGGCGGCCUCUGGAGUCAAAUCAAGACUUGAGGUACCCUGGGGAGGCUUGUAGCCACAGCUUGGAAGCGGCAGCACCGAAGCACACACAUUGAGAACAUCUCAACGUCCACGUCCGACCGAGGAUGGAUUUUGUCCGCUUGUCUUCCAAAAGCUAAGUGUCGGGGCCAGUGGUUGGGAGAAGGGGAAAAACCUUUACUAUCACAGGAGGCCAUCUGAUGUCAGCUUAGCGGAGAGGUCUGUAGUGGGACAGGCUCCCUGGAAGUAAAGGGAGAGGGUUUCUCCUCAGCCUCACCAGAGCCUUUGCCGGGCAGGGCAGUUCCUACCCAUCUCCACAUUCUCGUGAACUUUGCGUCAUCUGCCUUCCUCGACUUGACGUCGUCAUGGCUCUUUCCUCCGUGGAGCUCGCCUUCAGGUCCGGAGCUGUAGCCGCAGUUACCUGGCAGUCCGCUUCCUUCUCUAGGCUUGCUGAGCCUCUCGAGCAUCCUCCUAACUGCUUUGGCCCUAACUUCCUUUAAUGAGUUACAUUUCAUCAUCACGUGCUGUUGUCAUAGGGCUUCCUUUCCCUUGGCCUCAUUGGCCUCUGGCUCGUCCUGUGCUAGGACUCUCGGGUCCCUAAAGGGAAAGUGCCAAGCAGUUGCAACUUGUCUCUGUGUUAUGUCAUCUGUGUGUAUGUUAUGUUUUCUGUGUUAUGUAGUGUGUGUCCAUUGUCUUCCAUGUCAUAGGCCUUUGUUACAUCGCGAUGCUUGAUCAGCUCUCUUCUGUGCCAUAUAGGCCAUGUUCUACUCACAUUCCUUUCUGGAUAUCACUUAUUCCAGCAUCUUUACAUUUUUACUCUUUGAGACAGGAAUGUCUCACAGGGACAAGAUGUUCUCAUCCAUCUUCGUUCUCACUAUCAGCUUUGGUAGUGGGUUUUUUUCCAUUUUCUUGGACUUCUAGAGGGAGCAUCUUACACCCUCCUCACGUGACUGCAGUAGUUCUAUAGGUUCCAUCUUCUCAAAGGGUACAGGGCUCAAUAAGUAGUCUUCCAGAGAGUUAUCUUAAGUCGUGGUUUAUAUUGUAUGUUCCUAUGUUGGCUUAUAUUGUAUGUACUUAUACUGUAUGUACCUAUGCUGGCUUAUACUGUAUAUACCUAUGUUGGCUUAUACUGUAUGUACUUACAUUGCAUGUACCCAUGUUGGCUUAUAUUGCAUGUACCUGUGUUGGUUUAUAUUGUGUGUACCUGUGUUGGCUUAUACUGUACGUACUUACAUUGCAUGUACUUGUGUUGGUUUAUAUUGUGUGUACCUAUGCUGGCUUAUACUAUAUGUACUUAUUCUGUAUGUACAUGCAUCGCCUUAUAUUGUCUUUACUUACACUGUAUGUAAGCAUGUCGCCUUAUAUUGUGUGUACUUACACUCUAUGUACACUUGCACUGUAUGCAUCAGCUUUUAUUGUGUGUACUUACACUGUACCACUUAUUAUCGGAGCUGCCGUGCCCUGGCACGUAGUCACAGUUAGGUAGAACACUUAUAACAACUUUCCUGUUCAUCUAUCUUUUGUGGGAUUUUGGGUAGAAAAUUUAUCAGUCCAGAGUGGAGACAAGUCCUAGCUGUCAGAUAGCCACUUGUUGCCCCUUCCUGUUGUCUCACAGGUCCCCGAGGCUGCUGAUUUCCCAGGAUCUGCCAUUUAGCUCAAGGAGCGGCAGCCAGAAGAUGUGUCAAAGCACCUUCUUCAGCAUCUCAGGUUUUGCAACUCAUUGUUAAAUUGAGAAUAAAAAAUCCCCAGCCGCCUUCCACCCUGGCUGGUUUUUUUUUUUUUUUU